GAAUGAUGGGAAGAUGUAUACGUCUAUUUCUCAUUCAGUUGACAAAGGAUUAAAGCAAGCAUUUCUUUCACAGUGUAAAGACACUAAGGGUAGAGGUGUCGAGGGUGGAAGAAACCUGAAGGAUCAUUUAAACUCUUUGAAGCUUUUAUAGAUGAAGAAAGCUCAGAGGAGUGUUAUAGCCUGCCCAAUAUCAUAUAUGUACUCCCUAGUUCACCAGGACUGAAAACUAGGGAAUGAUGAAUGUAUACCCACAUGCUGGAAAAGAGAAGGUUUAUACUGAAUACGUAUUUGCUUCUUUCGUUUCAUACAGUUUCUCUGGGGAAAAAGAAACAACAAUCUUCUGUAAAAACCCAGGUGACCCGGAUGAAGUACUACUCAAACUGAGACUCUGGCGAUCAAGGGCCUGCUGCAUUCACUAAGAAUGUGGGAAUGAUAACUUCAAAGAUUGAGAAAUUGCAUCUUGAGUGUGUGUGGGAGCGGAACACAGGCCUGCGGUCCAUCGGAGAAGUCCAGGCGCUGGGCCGGCGCUGUAGGUGGUCAGGGACGUCCCUCUCCUUUCUACCACCUCUUUUCAGAUGGAGAAGCAAGAGAAGCUGAACAACGCGACGGCGAC
rnacentral:lncRNA from 10 species